rnacentral:miRNA from 1 species
AAUUAUUUGGUUGGUGUAAAAAUUACUGUGGUUUUUGCUAUUGAAAGUAAUGGCAAAAACCGCAAUCACUUUUGUACCAACCUAAU